GAAAUGCGAUAAGUAAUGUGAAUUGCAGAAUUCAGUGAAUCAUCGAAUCUUUGAACGCACAUUGCGCCCGCCAGCACUCUGGCGGGCAUGCCUGUUCGAGCGUCAUUUCAACCCUCAGAACCCCUUGCGGGAUCUGGCGUUGGGGAUUGGCAUCCAGCAAGCCCCGAAAUCUAGUGGCGGUCCCUCCGCGACCUCCCCUGUGCAGUAGCGAUACCUCGCAGCGGGACAGCGGUCUGACCACGCCGUAAAACCCCCAACUUCUCAAGGUUGACCUCGAAUCAGGUAGGAAUACCCGCUGAACUUAAGC
rnacentral:misc_RNA from 1 species